rnacentral:rRNA from 1 species
GACGAACGCUGGCGGCGUGCUUAACACAUGCAAGUCGAACGGAAAGGCCCUGCUUUUGUGGGGUGCUCGAGUGGCGAACGGGUGAGUAACACGUGAGUAACCUGCCCUUGACUUUGGGAUAACUUCAGGAAACUGGGGCUAAUACCGGAUAGGAGCUCCUGCUGCAUGGUGGGGGUUGGAAAGUUUCGGCGGUUGGGGAUGGACUCGCGGCUUAUCAGCUUGUUGGUGGGGUAGUGGCUUACCAAGGCUUUGACGGGUAGCCGGCCUGAGAGGGUGACCGGCCACAUUGGGACUGAGAUACGGCCCAGACUCCUACGGGAGGCAGCAGUGGGGAAUAUUGCGCAACGGGCGGAAGCCUGAGGCAGCAACGCCGCGUGCGUGAUGACGUCCUUCGGGUUGUAAACCGCUUUCGCCUGUGACGAAGCGUGAGUGACGGUAAUGGGUAAAGAAGCACCGGCUAACUACGUG